rnacentral:rRNA from 1 species
GACGAACGCUGGCGGCGUGCUUAACACAUGCAAGUCGAACGAAGUGGCGAACGGGUGCGUAACGCGUAAUCAACCUGCCCUUCAGAGGGGGAAAACAGUUGAAAACGACUGCUAAUACCGCAAACUGAAGGAGGGGAUGGGGUCUGAUUAGCUAGUUGGAGGGGUAACGGCCCACCAAGGCGAGGAUCAGUAGCCGGUCUGAGAGGAGGAACGGCCAAAUUGGGACUGAGACACGGCCCAGACUCCUACGGGAGGCAGCAGUGGGGAAUCUUCCGCAAUGGACGAAAGGCUGACGGAGCAACGCCGCGUGAGUGAUGACGGCCUUCGGGUUGUAAAGCUCUGUUAAUCGGGACGCGGUACCGGAAUAGAAAGCCACGGCUAACUACGUGCCAGCAGCCGCGGUAAUUC